CCAGUAUUCAAAAUUAUUGUUACUUACUCCAAAGGUAUAAACUGCAUAUAUGUGAUACACUAUGGGUGAAUACAGGAACUAUGGGAUACAAUAAGGUUGACUAGGGCUAACAGUCUUCUUCAGCAGGGGUUUUUAAAGGGGGUUGUAGGUAGAAUUUGCAGAGGAGAAUGAAGGAGAGUUUAGGGGUUUGGAUAAUUAAGUGAGACCAAGAGCAACAAAUUAUUACGAAGUUAUUGAAAAUAACCAAUUACACAGUAACAAAAAUGAAAGGUGGAAAGAUGAUAAAACUACUACAUGUUAUAAGUCAAGUUAUCCUACCAAAUGUCUUGUUAGUGCAGGUCAUUCCAAC